CACGUAGGGUGCGAGCGUUGUCCGGAAUUAUUGGGCGUAAAGAGCUCGUAGGCGGUGUGUCGCGUCGGCCGUGAAAACCUGCAGCUUAACUGUGGGCGUGCGGUCGAUACGGGCAUCACUGGAGUUCGGCAGGGGAGACUGGAAUUUCUGGUGUAGCCGUGAAAUGCGCAGAUAUCAGGAGGAACACCGGUGGCGAAGGCGGGUCUCUGGGCCGAUACUGACGCUGAGGAGCGAAAGCGUGGGGAGCAAACAGG
rnacentral:rRNA from 1 species